UAGGGUUCGAUUAUGGCUCAGGAUGAACGCUAGCGGCAAGCUUUAUACAUGCAAGUCGAGGGGCAGCAUAGAUUGCUUGCAAUUCUGAUGGCGACCGGCGAACGGGUGCGUAACGCGUAUGCAACUUACCUUUUACUAGGAGAUAGCCAAGAGAAAUUUUGAUUAAUAUCCUAUACAAUUAUUUUAUCGCAUGAUAAAAUAAUAAAAGCUCAGGCGGUAAAAGAUAGGCAUGCGUCCUAUUAGCAAGUAGGUGAGGUAACGGCUCACCUAUGCUACGAUAGGUAGGGGUCCUGAGAGGGAGAUCCCCCACACUGGUACUGAGACACGGACCAGACUUCUACGGAAGGCAGCAGUAAGGAAUAUUGGACAAUGGAGGCAACUCUGAUCCAGCUAUGCCGCGUGCAGGAAGACGGCCCUAUGGGUUGUAAACUGCUUUUAUGCAGGAAGAAACCUGCUCACUUGUGAGCAGCUGACGGUACUGUAAGAAUAAGGAUCGGCUAACUCCGUGCCAGCAGCCGCGGUAAUUCA
rnacentral:rRNA from 1 species